GGCCCAAUAGCAUAACGGUUAUGCUGCGCAUCCAGCUCUGGGAUGGAUUUAUGCGAAGGUCGCAGGUUCAACUCCUGCUUGGGCUU